rnacentral:lncRNA from 1 species
GUGUUAAAGGUUAGGGUUUAAAGAACUUAGUUUUCUUUAGGUUAUGAUCUUGAUCAACCAUACCUUGCAAUAUGAUUUAAGCGGUUCUUGGGUUUUGAAACUCAAUUUGUUCUUGGGUUUCUAAGAUAGUGAUUCAUGGGUUCAUAAUCAUUAGGGUUCGUGGUUCUAAUUCUUGGAGGUUCUUAACAUUUGGUAUCAGAG